UAAUAGCUCACUAGUCGAGUGACACUGCGCCGAAAAUGUACCGGGGCUAAACAUAUUACCGAAGCUGUGGAUUGUCCUUUGGACAAUGGUAGGAGAGCGUUCUAAGGGCGUUGAAGCAUGAUCGUAAGGACAUGUGGAGCGCUUAGAAGUGAGAAUGCCGGUGUGAGUAGCGAAAGACGGGUGAGAAUCCCGUCCACCGAUUGACUAAGGUUUCCAGAGGAAGGCUCGUCCGCUCUGGGUUAGUCGGGUCCUAAGCUGAGGCCGACAGGCGUAGGCGAUGGAUAACAGGUUGAUAUUCCUGUACCACCUAUAAUCGUUUUAAUCGAUGGGGGGACGCAGUAGGAUAGGCGAAGCGUGCGAUUGGAUUGCACGUCUAAGCAGUAAGGCUGAGUAUUAGGCAAAUCCGGUACUCGUUAAGGCUGAGCUGUGAUGGGGAGAAGACAUUGUGUCUUCGAGUCGUUGAUUUCACACUGCCGAGAAAAGCCUCUAGAUAGAAAAUAGGUGCCCGUACCGCAAACCGACACAGGUAGUCAAGAUGAGAAUUCUAAGGUGAGCGAGCGAACUCUCGUUAAGGAACUCGGCAAAAUGACCCCGUAACUUCGGGAGAAGGGGUGCUCUUUAGGGUUAACGCCCAGAAGAGCCGCAGUGAAUAGGCCCAAGCGACUGUUUAUCAAAAACACAGGUCUCUGCUAAACCGUAAGGUGAUGUAUAGGGGCUGACGCCUGCCCGGUGCUGGAAGGUUAAGAGGAGUGGUUAGCUUCUGCGAAGCUACGAAUCGAAGCCCCAGUAAACGGCGGCCGUAACUAUAACGGUCCUAAGGUAGCGAAAUUCCUUGUCGGGUAAGUUCCGACCCGCACGAAAGGCGUAACGAUUUGGGCACUGUCUCAACGAGAGACUCGGUGAAAUCAUAGUACCUGUGAAGAUGCAGGUUACCCGCGACAGGACGGAAAGACCCCGUGGAGCUUUACUGUAGCCUGAUAUUGAAAUUCGGCACAGCUUGUACAGGAUAGGUAGGAGCCUUUGAAACGUGAGCGCUAGCUUACGUGGAGGCGCUGGUGGGAUACUACCCUAGCUGUGUUGGCUUUCUAACCCGCACCACUUAUCGUGGUGGGAGACAGUGUCAGGCGGGCAGUUUGACUGGGGCGGUCGCCUCCUAAAAGGUAACGGAGGCGCUCAAAGGUUCCCUCAGAAUGGUUGGAAAUCAUUCAUAGAGUGUAAAGGCAUAAGGGAGCUUGACUGCGAGACCUACAAGUCGAGCAGGGUCGAAAGACGGACUUAGUGAUCCGGUGGUUCCGCAUGGAAGGGCCAUCGCUCAACGGAUAAAAGCUACCCCGGGGAUAACAGGCUUAUCUCCCCCAAGAGUUCACAUCGACGGGGAGGUUUGGCACCUCGAUGUCGGCUCAUCGCAUCCUGGGGCUGUAGUCGGUCCCAAGGGUUGGGCUGUUCGCCCAUUAAAGCGGUACGCGAGCUGGGUUCAGAACGUCGUGAGACAGUUCGGUCCCUAUCCGUCGUGGGCGUAGGAAAUUUGAGAGGAGCUGUCCUUAGUACGAGAGGACCGGGAUGGACAUACCUCUGGUGUACCAGUUGUCGUGCCAACGGCAUAGCUGGGUAGCUAUGUGUGGACGGGAUAAGUGCUGAAAGCAUCUAAGCAUGAAGCCCCCCUCAAGAUGAGAUUUCCCAACUUCGGUUAUAAGAUCCCUCAAAGAUGAUGAGGUUAAUAGGUUCGAGGUGGAAGCAUGGUGACAUGUGGAGCUGACGAAUACUAAUCGAUCGAAGACUUAAUCAA
rnacentral:rRNA from 1 species